AAAACAUCGCCUUUAGCACCCUAAUUAAAGGUAUCUUCUGCCCCAUGAAAUUUAAAUGGCCGCGGUACUCUGACCGUGCAAAGGUAGCAUAAUAAUUUGCCUCCUAAUUAGAGGCUCGCAUGAAUGAAUGCACGAGAGUCUAACUGUUUCACUUCUAUAAAUAAAAACUAUCCUUUAAGUGAAGAGACUUAAAUAAUAUAAAAAGACAAAAAGACCCUAUUGAGCUUUACUCAAACAGUAGGCCACAAUUAAAAUAUGAUACCACACCUACUCUCGAGUUUUGUUGGGGCGACAAAGGAAGAACUUAAUCUUCCUUCUUCAAAAGGAAACAAUCCAUUUCAAUCGAUCCAUAAGCUAUGAUCAAAGAAACCAGCUACCAUAGGGAUAACAGGCUAAUCUUCUUUGAGAGCCCAAAUUGACAAGAAGGUUUGGCACCUCGAUGUUGGCUUAAGGUGCCUGAUAGAUGCAGAAGUCUAUCAAGUGGGUUUGUUCAACCUUUAAUACCUUACGUGAUCUG
rnacentral:rRNA from 1 species